GAAUGCUCAAAUUUCUGGACUACCAAGAGAGAAUGAUAUCUUGAGGAAGUUGUUCAGGAAUUUGACUGGGAUGUAGUUGAAGAAUUCCUCAUAGAGGAAUAAAGACAGAUUCCUGCUAUAUGCAUUAUUGGCAUGCUGGACAACCUUUGGAAG